CGCCCCUGUUUCUGAUGGAGGACCCCAAUAAAGUCUCGCGCUGGUGUGUGGGCUCGCUCUCUCUCGCUCGCUGUCUUGAACGACCUCACAGAGCUCGUGUAGGUUUGCUGAUGUGUCCUUUGCCUGCAGCAUAUUGGAGAAGGUUUUACAAGAUUGCACAUGUGAAAAGCAUGGGUUUGAUUCCCACCCAAUCCCCUACCACUGGGUGCGUUGCCAGUCCCAAGAUUGGAUGAGAUGAGAGGGUUGCAUAAGGAAGGGCAUCCCGGGUAAAACCUCUGCCAAAUUGUGUGUGGAUUGAAUGGUCUGCUCAUGUGGCGACCCCUUGACAUGAGCAGCCGAAAGAUGGGAUGAAGUGUCGUUUUCAAUGUUUACCAUCGAACAUCUAACUAAGAUCAGAUGAUUCGUGUCAUCACAAGAAAGAAGCUCUGAGGUUCAGGCUGGGGUUUAGAACCUUUUUUUAGGAAGGAGCUGAUUUUUUGUACCCCGAGUACAAAAGAUUGAUUCAGGUUGCGUUGCAGAGCCGUUGAAGCGGAAUAGAGAAAAUGCUUGUCUGUCAACAUGAUCAUUUUGUGCAUUGAUGUAAAUAAAGUUCUGAAGUUACACAAAGA